rnacentral:rRNA from 1 species
CGUAGGGGCAAGCGUUGUCCGGAAUCAUUGGGCGUAAAGAGCGUGUAGGCGGCCCGUAUAAGUCCGCCGGUGAAAGUCCAGGGCUCAACCCUGGAAUGCCGGUGGAAACUGUCGGGCUGGAGUCCGGAAGAGGCGAGUGGAAUUCCUGGUGUAGCGGUGAAAUGCGCAGAUAUCAGGAGGAACACCAAUGGCGAAGGCAGCUCGCUGGGACGGUACUGACGGCUGAGACGCGAAAGCGUCGGGGAGCAAACAGGAUUAGAUACCCUGGUAGUCCACGCCGUAAACGAUGGGCACUAGGUGUGGGGGGUGUCGACUCCCCCCGUGCCGACGCUAACGCAUUAAGUGCCCCGCCUGGGGAGUACGGCCGCAAGGCUAA